rfam:Oryza rufipogon genomic scaffold, chr02
UUUAAGCGCAAUCAUAAAUUUAUGUGUCUAUUUUUUAUCGUUAGUCUUAUUUGAAAUUUUUUUUAUGAUUAGUAUUUGUAUUGUUAUUAGAUGAUACAACAUGAAUUGUACUUUAUACGUGACUUAUAUCUUUUUAUUUUUUUCAAAAAGAAUGAAAUAAGAUGGAUGACUAAAUUUAGACACGGAAACUCAUGAGCUUAAA